rnacentral:rRNA from 1 species
ACGGAAGGCAGCAGUGGGGGAUAUUGCGCAAUGGGGGGAACCCUGACGCAGCAACGCCGCGUGAAGGAAGACGGUCUUCGGAUUGUAAACUUCUUUAAGUGUGGAAGAAAUUGACGGUACACACAGAAUAAGCCACGGCUAACUACGUGCCAGCAGCCGCGGUAAUACGUAGGUGGCGAGCGUUGUCCGGAUUUACUGGGUGUAAAGGGCGUGUAGGCGGGAUUACAAGUCAGAUGUGAAAUACCGAGGCUUAACUUCGGAGCUGCAUUUGAAACUGUAGUUCUUGAGUGCUGGAGAGGAAAGCGGAAUUCCUAGUGUAGCGGUGAAAUGCGUAGAUAUUAGGAGGAACACCAGUGGCGAAGGCGGCUUUCUGGACAGUAACUGACGCUGAGGCGCGAAAGUGUGGGGAGCAAACAGGAUUAGAUACCCUGGUA